UACGUAGGUGUCAAGCGUUGUCCGGAUUUAUUGGGCGUAAAGCGCCCGCAGGCGGCUUGCCAAGUUCGAUGUGAAAUCUCCCGGCUCAACUGGGAGGGUGCAUCGAAAACUGGCAGGCUUGAGGCAGGGAGAGGGAUGCGGAAUUCCAGGUGUAGCGGUGAAAUGCGUAGAUAUCUGGAGGAACACCGGUGGCGAAGGCGGCAUCCUGGGCCGGUACUGACGCUGAGGAGCGAAAGCGUGGGGAGCGAACAGG
rnacentral:rRNA from 1 species